GACGAACGCUGGCGGCGUGCCUAAUACAUGCAAGUAGAACGCUGAAGGAGGAGCUUGCUUCUCUGGAUGAGUUGCGAACGGGUGAGUAACGCGUAGGUAACCUGCCUGGUAGCGGGGGAUAACUAUUGGAAACGAUAGCUAAUACCGCAUAAGAGUAGAUGUUGCAUGACAUUUGCUUAAAAGGUGCAAUUGCAUCACUACCAGAUGGACCUGCGUUGUAUUAGCUAGUUGGUGGGGUAACGGCUCACCAAGGCGACGAUACAUAGCCGACCUGAGAGGGUGGUCGGCCACACUGGGACUGAGACACGGCCCAGACUCCUACGGGAGGCAGCAGUAGGGAAUCUUCGGCAAUAGACGGAAGUCUGACCGAGCAACGCCGCGUGAGUGAAGAAGGGUUUCGGAUCGUAAAGCUCUGUUGUAAGAGAAGAACGAGUGUGAGAGUGGAAAGUUCACACUGUGACGGUAUCUUACCAGAAAGGGACGGCUAACUACGUG
rnacentral:rRNA from 1 species